rnacentral:rRNA from 1 species
UGCCUUCGGGUCCUUGGUGAUUCAUAAUAACUUAACGAAUCGCAUGGCUUGUGCGGCGAUGGUUCAUUCAAAUUUCUGCCUAUCAACUUUCGAUGGUAUGGUCUUGGCUUACCAUGGUUUCAACGGGUAACGGGGAAUUAGGGUUCUAUUCCGGAGAGGGAGCUGAGAAACUCGGUACCACAUCCAAGGAAGGCAGCAGGCGCGCAAAUUACCCAAUCCCGACACGGGGAGGUAGUGACAAUAAAUACUGAUACAGGGCUCUUUCGGGUCUUGUAAUUGGAAUGAGAACAAUUUAAAUCCCUUAACGAGGAACAAUUGGAGGGCAAGUCUGGUGCCAGCAGCCGCGGUAAUUCCAGCUCCAAUAGCGUAUAUUAAAGUUGUUGCAGUUAAAAAGCUCGUAGUUGAACUUUGGGUCUGGCUGAUCUGUCCUCCUAAUCGAGCGCACGGAUUCGGUCGGACCUUUCCUUCUGGGGAACCCUAUGCCCUUCACUGGGCGUAGUGGGGAACCAGGACUUUUACCUUGAAACAAAUUAGAGUGUCAAAGCAGGCCUUUGCUCGAAUACA